ensembl:lincRNA
NGCGGUGGGGUGGGCGGCGCAGCCCUGCGGUGCCUCGUCGUUAAAAUCGUGUCACAUCGCCCGCAAAAUGAAUUGUGUGCUGUGAACGUCAGACGCGGGGCGAAAGGGACGCCCAGACCGGCUCAGCUAGCCCCGGCGGGCGGGACCGGGCGGCGGAGGCUGUGUGUCCGAGGCACCUGCCGGCUGCCCUUGCGGACGCGCUGCAGCAGCCUGCUGUCCCCCAUUUCCGCCGCGCUCUCGAUGUGUGCACGUGCACGCGCGUGUGUGUGCGCGCGCGCUCCCCAUGCCACAGCCUGCACACAGGCGUGCGGGAGUGCGCCCAUCACGAGCGGGCAUGUGCAGACGUGCGUGUGUGCACGCUCACCGAUGGAGCCCGUGCGUGCGGGCGAGUGUGUGUGUGUGUGUGUGCGCGCGCGUGCAAGGGCUCACCGGGAGAGAGCGCCCCGGAGCCUGCAUCGCGCGGCCGAAAGCGGGUACUCAGUGUGCAUUAUGGGAACAGCGGUCGGUUACCGAUCGGGAGAAGAGGGGUCCUCGGGACCAUCAUCCCCUGCAGGCCCCAGCGAGAAAACUCCCGCAGAAAGUGCGCCGCAGCUGCAGGUGGACGAGUGCCGCAGGCAGGCAGCAAGCAAGGGGACUGCAUCGCCGCCCUAAGCCACCUGCUCUGGAGCCCGGGCCUGGGUUGGGGCACUGGGUGUAGACCUUCGACCUCUUUCUCCACCGCAUAGCACUCCUUGCUCUUGGGUUUGCAGACAAUUCAUGCAACACACAGGGACUUGUACUUAAUAACAGUCAAUAACCAUUCAGCAUUUCCAUCAACGGGUCCCUCAAGCUGGAGGAGCGUGAACAGGUUCAGAGCCACCUCUGAUUUGGGCAGUGGGUUCCUAAACCUGGCCCCUCCGAAGCCAGCUGCCGGUUUUCCUGCAGGACUGUUUGAGUACAAGCCCUCCACUGCCCUCGGUGGCAAGGUACCAAUGACUGGUGUCAAGGCAGGAGCCACCUUCUGUCAGCUUGUCUCGGGUAAGAACUAGUGGUCAGCCUUCCAUACAUGCCACCUCUGAAAAGACAGGAAAUAAGCAGUUUUCUUUGAUCCCCUAACGCAAGUGUCUCCCUUCUAGCUUCACUCUCUGCGCUAAUCUGUACUUCGGAGGAGCGGGUCAUGGCUGCCGGUGCAGGGACUUGAGCAAAUUGCUGAGCUCAACCAUUGGAGCAGCGUGUGGCUUGCUUUAUCAAGGGGACAUUCGUGACUGUGGACGGACACUGUUCACGGUCACACUGUCACAGUUGCCGCUGUGCUGACACUGAGCCCUCAUCCCUACCAGAGACCUCUUAAUAAAAUUAGUGAAUGAUAAAUAACAAAAGUCACUAAAAUAACAUUGUGUGAGGUCGUCCUCCAGGAGCGCUCCAGCUGUGAAGUGGAAUGUCAGCCUUGACAACACAGACGUGAUGCCGGGAGGGCGGCCAGUUAGGACUCAUGUCUGUGUGCCUGGCUUCGUUCGAAGGAUUCCUCUUCCUAACACUGCACUUCUUGGAAAGGAGCCUUCUGAAGAGGGAGUCUUCUUCCGCUCUAGAAGGAAAAAAAAAAAAAAAAGAUGUUCCCUUCCCCGGAGCCGCUCUCUGUAGCAUACUGUCUUGGGGUGUCAAACCCUCUAGCACAACUGAGGGGCAGUUCAAGCAGACUACUCCGGAGGGAGUUUCCCAAAGAGCAAAGUCUCUUCCUCCUGAGGCUCCCUACCUGCUCCACAGAACCUGAAGCGAUAUGAAAGCCGG